rnacentral:rRNA from 1 species
CAGCCGCCACGGUAAUACGAAGGAUGCAAGCGUUAAUCGGAAUUACUGGGCGUAAAGCGUGCGCAGGCGGUUGUGUAAGACAGGUGUGAAAUCCCGGGGCUCAACCUCGGAACUGCCUUUGAUACUGGAAGUCUUGAGUGUGGAGGAGGUAAGUGGAAUUGCGAGUGUAGAGGUGAAAUUCGUAGAUAUUCGCAGGAACACCAGUGGCGAAGGCGGCUCACUGGUCCACAACUGACGCUGAGGUGCGAAAGCGUGGGGAGCAAACAGGAUUAGAUACCCCUGUAGUCCCUGUCUCUUAUAC